rnacentral:tRNA from 1 species
GCCUUUGUGGUGUAGUGGUCAUCACGCUCGGUGCGUAUUCAAGAGGUCUGUGGUUCGAGUCCCGGCGAGGCCA